CUGUUGUCAGGUCAUUAAAGAUUGCAUAUUUUGGCUUUAAUAUUGAUUCACUUAUAGGGUCUUUGCAUCGGAACUAAACACAUUUAUUAUAAAAACAGUUGUUGGCAUGACACGGGUUAUGUUCUUCUCAUAUAUUUUAUGAUAGUAUGAUACUAAACCCCUAACGGGAGGGAUUGUGCCUGAUAUUCAUAUAAUGACGACAUAAUCUUUCAAUCAGUUUAAUUGAGGUCUGGAGCUGGCAUGUCAGUUAACUGCUAGUAGUCUGUUGUUAUUUGUGUAUUAUUGUCAUUCUAUUUAUUUCCUUUUGUUACAUCUUCUGACAUCGGACUCGGACUUCUCUUGAACUGAAUUGCGUAUUGUUAUGCGUUUACUUUUCUACAUUGGCUAGAGGUAUAGGGGGAGGGUUGAGAUCUCAUUAACAUGUUUAACCCCGC
rnacentral:lncRNA from 1 species